rnacentral:lncRNA from 1 species
ACUAUAAAAUAAUUGUUAAAAAGUAAAAACAAGUACAAAAAAUAAUCUUAAGAUGAUUUGAAAAAAGGUAAAGUUAACUUACGGUAUGCAAAACAACAUGGCAAAAACUAAAAUUUGAACUGACAGUUUAAAUCCGCUUAUGAAUAGGGUGAAAAACUGAGAAAAAAUGCUUUGCAAGAAACAGCUUCCGAGUUUUUUUAUUUAUUUAUCAUAAUUAUUAUUAUUUUCAUUUUUUUUGCAGUGAGGGAAUUUCUUGCUAAGGGUGUAUGACGAUUAAAAACUGAAAAAAAUUGGUAUUUAUCUUUUAGCAGUUUUUUUCUGAGAAAAAACAAUUUUUGCUUUCUGUAGAAUUUACAGCUAUUCUUUACAGUAUAGAUUAUCGUUUUAACUCUAAAAAUGAAAGUUUUAAACAUGAGAUUACUUCCCCGUGAAGAUAAUAAUUCUCUGAAAAUCAUUCUUUUACAUUUUAUCAUCUAAAACUCUUUACCGAUAAGAACUAAACUGUCAUUUCAAUUGUUCCUUACAAUUUUAAUCACGUUCCGUGGAACGAAAGAUUGCAGGUGUACAAUGGGAUUGCCUGUUUAUGAUUGCAAAGUGGGAAUCACCACGGUAAAGUAUUCAAAAAAGUUCAAAUGGACUAUAAAAAGUUAUAAAGAUUUGCCAAAUGAAUUUGAACUCCCGUCUUUUGAACCAUUGUCCGGAUAUAGAUGGUCAUUAGAUGCUGAUUUCACAAAUUGUGAUGAGGCAUUUUUUAGUAUUAAAAGCUAUUUAACCAAUGUCUAUAUGCCUAAUGCAGGAAUUAAAGGAGCAGUUUUUGUAAAAACCCAUAAUGAAGAUACCAUCAUGAGAAAAGAAUUUAAUAUGGUUGUGCACCAAGAUGCUAUUAGUGAAUUUUUUUCUUUCUCCAAAAACCUGAUUAAUCACUAUAUGCUUGAUACAAUAAUCAUCGAAUGUGAUAUGGAAAUAUAUGUACCUAUUUCUACUACAGCAAACGGUGUAAACAUAAGGGUUUCUGGUGUGGACAUAAUUUUGACAGUUUUUAUUGUAUUGGGUAUCUUGUACUAUGUUUAUUUUGUGCGGGUUUGAUUAAAAAGUGAAAGUUUUAAAUUCAUCUGGUUUAAAUGUGAUAACUUAGUAAACAGACUGAUAUGUGAUGGAUGUUUAAGAUUAGAUGUAAUUACUAAGUAAUGACUCGUCAAAAAAUUUCUUUCUGAUGAAAUUAUAAUUAUUGCUGUUUCAAAUAAAAUAGAACAUUGUGAGAUUCAUUCACAUUGAAAUUAAAAACAGUUUAAGUUUAAUAUCAUCUUCAAUGUUAUCAAUAAAUGUUGAAACUUUCAUGAUAUAGUUUGAAAUAAAAAAGCGCUGCUUAUUUUUACUAUGAAAUUUACAGACACAAUUUUUUUCCUAGUUUAAUAAUACUAUUUUUUAUUUUGUAUAUAUUGUUUAUAAAUAUUGUUAUUAUUGUAUUUUUAUUUUUCUGAUAUAUUAAUAUUUUGAUAUUUCAAUAACAUUAACUUUCAAUAAUAGCAUGGCUGGCAUGCUAAAGUAUUUUUAUUUUUAGUAUUUUUGAAUAAUACUGUUCCUUAGCAAUGUUUUCAGAUAGGUACUUUUGAAGUUUCUGAAAAAAUUCCAAAACUUAUAUCCUAUUGCCAAUAUAAAAAAGGUGUCCAACCAAAAAGCUUAUGAAAAUCGCUGUCUUAAGCAAUUUUGGAACUGUGUUAUUUAAUUAUUUUGUAUAUAGCACUUAAUUCCUCAUAUUCGUUACAGAAUUACAAAUGAAAGGUUUUCGUCUCCCAAUGCAAAACUGAGUGCUUUUGCAGUUUGUCUGGCAUUUGCUGUCUAUGUUGAAAAAGAAUUAGUUCCACGUCAUUGUUGGUCUGGUAGGUACAUGUUGAAGAAGCGUGGAUUAUUUGUUGCUGUUUGUUGGUCAUUGUUAAAAUUGCUACUUGUAGCAGGCCUAUGUUGAAAAAUUAUGAAUCAUCGUUAUUGUUGGAAGGUUUGUAAAGAAAUAUCUUUAAUUAUUCUUAUUGUUGGAAGGUCUGUAAAGAAAUAUCUUUAAUUAUUCUUAUUGUUGGAAAGUCUGUGUUGAAAAAUCAGAAAAUAUUAUUACUGUGUGAAGGUCUAUGUAGAAAAAUCCUGAAUUAUUGUUAUUGUUGAAAGGUCUGCUUUGUUGAAAAAUCAUGAAUUAUUGUUAUUGUUGGAAGUUCUAUGUUGAAAAGUCUUGAACUGUAAAUGAGAAAAGCAAAACGUCAAAAUUAAAUGCAUAUGAAUGUUUGCUAUACAUUACAUAAUGAAGACUUCUUGACUAGAAAAUCAUGUUUCUAAACAUUAUUGCACAUUAAUCAGAAUUGCAGAAUCUGUAAGUUUAAGUUUUUUUUAGUUCAGUUAAACAACUUUUGUGUGACUGAACUUCAAAUAAUUGAUUGUGUACUUUUUGUGAUCUUAUGGAUGAGGAAAAAAUAAAACUUUACUGUGCAAA